rnacentral:lncRNA from 10 species
UGUCUCUCAGUGUCUCUGAUAACUCCAUCAUGAAGCCUCUGCUGGUCCUGCCAUUGCUCCAGAUGCAUGCUGGCCACUGUGGCUGCCAUCAGCAUCACCACCGAGAGGCCCAGCAGUGCCUUCAAACUCCUCGACAUCUCUGUGCCAGCUUCCAAGGCCUCUUUCUCCCACCUCUCAAGGCUGGUCAGUAGCAUUUAAUUUAGUUCAACAAACAUCUAUCGACUGUCUGUUAUAGGUAAGGCAUCAAAAGAUUUACUAACUAGUGGAGGAGGUAUACAAACAAAAAUGAUCUAUAUUAUAAGUCAGAGUAGAGUAAGUGGUGGAAAUAAGUGCAAUAAAAGAAACAUCUAGGGA